AACGAACGCUGGCGGCAGGCUUAACACAUGCAAGUCGAACGCAUCCUUCGGGGUGAGUGGCAGACGGGUGAGUAACGCGUGGGAACGUGCCCUUCAGUUCGGGAUAACCCAGGGAAACUUGGGCUAAUACCGGAUACGUGCGAGAGCAGAAAGAUUUAUCGCUGAAGGAUCGGCCCGCGUCUGAUUAGCUAGUUGGUUGGUAAUGGCCCACCAAGGCGACGAUCAGUAGCAGGUCGGAGAGGAUGAUCAGCCACAUUGGGACAGAGACACGGCCCAAACUCCUACGGGAGGCAGCAGUGGGGAAUAUUGGACAAUGGGCGCAAGCCUGGUCCUGCCAUGCCGCGUGAGUGAUGAAGGCCUUAGGGUUGUAAAUCUCUUUCGUCCAGUACGAUAAUGGCGGUACCGGAAGAAGAAGCCCCGGCUAACUUCGUGCCAGCCGCCGCCGUAA
rnacentral:rRNA from 1 species